rnacentral:pre_miRNA from 1 species
GAUCAGAGUUUUAUACCGUUUAAGUUUAAUGUUUGACCUUCCGUCUUAUUUUAAAAUAUUAUUAUUAUAUGAUAAAACAUGAAUUAUAUUUUAUAAGUGAUUAUUUUUUUAAUUUUUUAAUAAAAUUUUUAAAUAAGACAAAUGGUCAAACGCUGGACAUAGAAAUUUAUAGCUGCACUUAAA